UUUGGUUUGCUUGCAAACCAAAGCUGGCGACCGGCGCACGGGUGAGUAACACGUAUCCAACCUGCCUCAUACUCGGGGAUAGCCUUUCGAAAGAAAGAUUAAUAUCCGAUAGCAUAUAUUUCCCGCAUGGGUUUUAUAUUAAAGAAAUUCGGUAUGAGAUGGGGAUGCGUUCCAUUAGUUUGUUGGCGGGGUAACGGCCCACCAAGACUACGAUGGAUAGGGGUUCUGAGAGGAAGGUCCCCCACAUUGGAACUGAGACACGGUCCAAACUCCUACGGGAGGCAGCAGUGAGGAAUAUUGGUCAAUGGACGCGAGUCUGAACCAGCCAAGUAGCGUGAAGGAUGACUGCCCUAUGGGUUGUAAACUUCUUUUAUAUGGGAAUAAAGUGGUCCACGUGUGGAUUUUUGUAUGUACCAUAUGAAUAAGGAUCGGCUAACUCCGUGCCAGCAGCCGCGGUAAUACGGAGGAUCCGAGCGUUAUCCGGAUUUAUUGGGUUUAAAGGGAGCGUAGGCGGAUUGUUAAGUCAGUUGUGAAAGUUUGCGGCUCAACCGUAAAAUUGCAGUUGAUACUGGCAGUCUUGAGUGCAGUAGAGGUGGGCGGAAUUCGUGGUGUAGCGGUGAAAUGCUUAGAUAUCACGAAGAACUCCGAUUGCGAAGGCAGCUCACUGGAGUGUAACUGACGCUGAUGCUCGAAAGUGUGGGUAUCAA
rnacentral:rRNA from 1 species